rnacentral:lncRNA from 10 species
AAGCAGCCCAGAUGAGAGAAAAGGUGCUUUAACUUUGAUUGCUGCAGAUUUUCUUGGCGUUUAAGUGCUGAUGAAGCAGGUCAGUCAAAACUGAAGAUCAGCUUUUGAUCAUGAAGAGGAGAUUAGGUCACAGAUGUUCAAUAAGGAAAGACCAUGUGAAGACACAAGAAGAUGGUCAUCUGCAAGCCAAGAGAAAUGUCUCAAAAGGAACUGGCCCUGCUGACAUCUUGACCUUGAAUUUCCAGCCUCAGGUUCUUGGAUGCUUGAUGGAAUUAAGGAUUUGAGAACAUGAGAACAAACAGGAAUAUGCAGGAAAUCUUGAGGACACAGGAGAUGAAGUCAACCUGUGGCCAAGGGAGAGGGAGGGACAUGAGAAGCUUUGUGAAAGAUGUCAGCGCAAACCUCAGGCAAGUGCCACCCAACCUAGAGCUGUGGAUUGAAGUUUGGCGUUGGGGUGUCAGCCUGUGAUUUCCUGAUCUCCAACUCCACUCCUCUUAAGUCACCCAGCCUAAGGCACUGAACCUCAUCAUCAGAACCUCAGAGUCCAACAUCUUGACCAUAGCCUUGCAACCCCACUGUUAGGUUGUCCUACUUGCUAGCCAUUCAUUAUAGCAAUGCCCCUAUUUCAAACAUGUCUAGAAGAACAGCAUUAGUGGGGAG